UAAAAAAAAACAAGUGUUUAACCAAAUUAUAUAAUAAUAAUAAUAAAGGCUAACAAUAAUGUAUAUGAAAUAAAAAUGUGCCCUAUUAGCACUAUUUUGCCACUUCUGUGUCAGUUUGUUGGUACGUCAAUAUUUCAGAAAAUAGAAAUUAUAUGCUCAUUUUCAUUUUUUGCGGUCUGAAGAGAUAUCGCGAGAUUACACGAGACUAUAAGAUAUCAAACACCAGAGCCUGAAGCGGAUCUGAGUUACCAUGGAAACGGGGAAACGUCAGUCAGCAAGACCCCGUCUCGCUGUUGUUUUCACUGAUUUUAGGGUCGACAGAAAACCCCCUCUACAACAAAGGAGAAGCUGACAGAGGAGGAGGAAACACAGAUCCUUCCAUGCGGAUGGACUCCUGCACCCCAGCAGAGCUGAGUGACCUCCUGUCAAAGGCCAUGAACCAGAUGAACCUCAAUCAUUCAGUACACUACUGUUGAAAAGUUGUGGCUCUGUAAGAUUUUUACAUGUUUUUGAAAGAAGUCUCACAUUUUAAAAUCAUUAACCCCGGGUUGUUUCAGUGAGAUUGUCCUUGAAAGGCCUGUAGGCUAAAUAAUCAGCUAAAUGAGGUAACAUAGGUGACAAGUAUAAAGUUAUAAUGCUUGUAGUUAUAAUCAUUUAUUUAACUAUUAUAAUAACAUGAUAUCAUGGUCAUUAAUCUAUUUUAUUGUAUUUCUCUAUGUCUGUUUGUUUAUGUUUGCCAGUGAACAGACGCCAUACUGUUCCACUCAAAGAUGAGAUGUAAUUGCUAGCGUUUGGUGCUGAGAUUCUUCAGGACAAGGCCUUGAUGCCAUUCACACUCACUACAUGAAGAUGAUUCACCAAACCUCUGGCUGAUCACUGGCAAUUUGGUAAGAGAUUGUUGUCUAUAUCACUGUCACUUCUUUUUCUAGUUGAUUUAUUAACAUUUUGUGAUUUUCUAUUACUUAAUUGAAUAUAAAUGCACUUAGGUUGAUUUUAAUUUAUUUACAAAGUAUAGAUAGGAUUCUGUUGUGUAAUGUUUCUCUAUAUAAUUAGUAAUAUAUCGAGCCCCCAGGGGAAACAAUAUAAAUCUGUGUAAGUGUAAGUAUUAAAUGAUAAUAUAUUUUGAUGUUUGUUUGU